UCCGGCUUAUCACCGGCGGUUCCUUUAGAGUGCCCAACUAAAUGAUGGCAACUAAUGGCGAGGGUUGCGCUCGUUGCGGGACUUAACCCAACAUCUCACGACACGAGCUGACGACAGCCAUGCAGCACCUGUGUUACGGUUCCCUUCCGGGCACUCCUCCAUCUCUGGAGGAUUCCGUACAAGUCAAGGGUAGGUAAGGUUUUUCGCGUUGCAUCGAAUUAAUCCACAUAAUCCACCGCUUGUGCGGGUCCCCGUCAAUUCCUUUGAGUUUUAAUCUUGCGACCGUACUCCCCAGGCGGGGCACUUAAUGCGUUAGCUGCGGCACCCAGGGGGUCAAUACCCCGGACACCUAGUGCCCAUCGUUUACAGCGUGGACUAC
rnacentral:misc_RNA from 1 species